rnacentral:lncRNA from 1 species
UUGAGGUCUCACCUGUGGUUGGCCACCGCAUGGUGCUUCAGCCCCUCCCCCUAUAUCCUGUGCCCUCAAAGGGACUCAAUGAUCUAUCUCCCCACAAGCCAGCCACCCACUGCCCAAGCAAUCCCAAAUGGCGCCAUUCCAAAAGGGCUGUUUUUUUUUUCUUAUUAAAUAAAAAGAAACCUAAUCAAGAUCUUCAAAGGUCUCUGCCCAAGAAAUAAACCCAGAAAAAUAAAGACAGCAGAGGUAAUUAAAAUCCAGCCUUAUCAGGGAAACAAGGCUUCAGCUGCUUCCAAGAGGAAAGCCUGCACUUCCACAUCCAUCUCCAAAGAGAAUGCUGUCUGUCUCCACUCAGCACAGAGCUGGUGGUUUUGAAAGGCAAGGUAGACCAGUAGGCCAGAAUUGCCUGAACCAUUAUCUUCUAAAACUAAAUUAAAUAGAAACUGGUUUAUAGAUUCUCAGUCCACAGAGGUGUUUCCCAUGACACCUCAGCUGCCAGUUACAGAGUAAAUGAGAGAAAUGUAGGGCCACCCAAUUCUGUCCCACUUAGAUGUGCUCCAAGCCACACACAUAUAACCCAGGCACUUCCUGCCUCCCUGGGUGAAAUUUGGUUUGGAUAGACAGGGUUGCACCACAGAAGAGACCACCAAGGACUAUCUUAACAGCACAGCUUCCAGCCUCCAGGCUUCCCCAAGGUUUGAAAUGCCCAAGACCAUCGAGCAUCCAAGAGCCAGAUGUGGCUACAGGAAGGGUAGGGCAGCUGUCUUCUUUCUCUCUGGGCCCAUUUGGCUUGAGUCCAAGCUAAAGGACAAGGAGUCCCCUUUUCCUACACCAGGAGCUCAUGGCCCUCUGCCAAUGUGCUGCUGGCACAGAGCGGUCGUCAUCCAGCCUGUGUUUUGGGGUGAGUGCAUGUGAGUAUGGUAAGUGCUUGGGCAGACGGUGCUGGAUUCUCACCUGACUGGAGGUGUUGCUAGCCAGGAAGGAAAGAGUGGAAGUGUCCCUUUGUCUGAACUGUCCCCACAAAUGCCAUCUCUUCUAUGACCAUAUUAUUUGGAGUCACACUAAUGCCCACGGUUGAUGUUGGGAGCCUCAAGCUGAUGGGGUCAUCAUCUACUCAAACCCUGAGGCUGGCCAGCACUGGCUUUCUUCCUUUUCUAAUUCUUCCUUCCUUUGUUCUAAUUCAGUUCCCAGGGAGGUCACAUGGAGACCACAGUGGCUACCCAGUAGUCCAAGCCAAGGGUCCAAGGUAGGGGGUGGUUUAUGGGACUUGACUAGGAACCUAGGAGCCAGUGUCUAUCACCGGGUCUCAUUAUCUGAACUGUAAGAACCGAUGGUCCCUCCUUUCAUCUGAGCCCAGAAGCCCCCUUAAAAUGACAAGCACCCCAAUCCCAUCAGCCCAGACUCUCUGUCCCUCCCAGAACCCCACAAUGUAAGGUCAGGGUUCUUCUGCCAGCAAAGCCAUUCUGACUGCCCCACCUUUCAAGGAGACCAAGCCAACCAUAUUAGCCAUAAUCCACCAGGGUCCUCAGUCACUCUUCUUGGGUUGUGUUCCUGGGUCCUGUUCAACCUUCAUCAGCCCUUCCGGUCCAUGUGACAAUGCACAUCGGUGUGCGUGUGCUCAUACGUGCACAAGAGUGCACACACAAGGAAACCAACCAAACCCCAAUGUCAUCUUCUGCAUGUGGUGAGAUGGACUUGUGACCCUUGUGUGACCUCCGGCUGCUGUCCUGUCUUGUAAAAAAAAAAAAGUUCACAUGUUUAAGAAUUUUCAAGCAAAUGGUCCCUUAAUGAAGUCUGCAGCGUUCAAAUAAAAGAUACGGAGAAAAC